UACGGGGGGGGCAAGCGUUGUCCGGAUUUAUUGGGCGUAAAGAGCGUGUAGGCGGCCAGGUAGGUCCGCUGUGAAAACUCGAGGCUCAACCUCGAGAUGUCGGCGGAAACCAUCUGGCUAGAGUCCGGAAGAGGAGAGUGGAAUUCCUGGUGUAGCGGUGAAAUGCGCAGAUAUCAGGAAGAACACCCGUGGCUAAGGCGGCUCUCUAGUACGGUACUGACGCUGAGACGCGAAAGCGUGGGGAGCGAACAGG
rnacentral:rRNA from 1 species